CCCUCACAGCAUUACAGCCAUUCACCGGUGUCUCCCCAGCCCAGGCUCACAAUGCCCAAGCCCCCUUUGUGCCAAUGCCACUACAGGCCCUCCCCAAAGCUCAAGCAGAAAAGCAGUUUUCUAAACUUCACUGAGAGGACAGGAGGCUCCUGAAGACCCCUUUCCCAGCAGUACAACCACUCUUGCCAGAGGAGAUGUGACUGAAUUCCGUCCCACACAACCUGGCUGGCAAGGCUACACAGAGUUUCUGGCUUGCCAAGGAAAAUUGGAGAAGGAAGAUUUCACCACCAAUUCCUUUUCAGCAAAAUAAAU